AACCUUUCUCGGCCUUUUGGCUAAGAUCAAGUGUAGUAUCUGUUCUUAUCAGUUUAAUAUCUGAUACGUGGGUCAUCGGCCCACAUGAUAUUAAAUUUAUUUCUUUAGGGGAGGGCCCAUUACAAUGGCUUGCCAUUGGGGCUUCUCAGGUGUUUCCCAUGCGUAGCACUUCUGCUUGGGCCUGGCGCACCCCUC